rnacentral:lncRNA from 1 species
GCUACCCUCGCUCUCAGCGGCGGCCAGGUGCGUGCGCGUCCGCGCUCCCGGCGGCGGGGGAGGGGCGGACGCGCAGUGGGCACCGGUGGCCUCCCCCGCCCUUGCGUGAGCCCCGACUAGGGAAGACCGCGGACGGUGGGAGGACUGAGGCCCGACAGGGAAGGGCCGGCCCGGGUCCCGCAGCGGAUCACGGCAGGGCCGGGACUCGAACCCGGGCUCCCGGGGGCCGACUGUGGGCCGGGAGCGUCCCUGCGGCGACGGCGCGCGCCCGCACUCUGACCGCGGCCUGACCCCCGGCUGCCGGCGCGCCGUGGGGCUGCGGCCCAGAGGCCAGUGGGAGGGGCGCGGGGGGCCCCCGGAGCGAGCAUGUGACCCGAGGCCGCGCGCUCGGAACCAGCCCCGGCCCGACGCCCUUGGCUGGCACCUGCUUCUCCCCCACCGGCGUCUUCCGCGGCUCUCGGGGCCGCGCCCCCCGCACCAGCUCCCGAGCCUUGGCCUUCGCCCGAGCGAUCUCCCGCCUAGAACCCCGCGCCCACCUGUGCCACCUGUGCCCACCUGCGCCAGCAUCCCUCGAGGUCCAGCUCCAGCGUCCCCGGGGAGGGUCCGGUCCUCGUCUCCAGGGCCUGGGUCUCUCCCUGCAGUCCCGUCUCCAGAGGCGCCGCCCCCUCGGGCCUGAGCGCCGGAGUGACAGAGCCCUGGGCAGGGCCCUGAGCAGACCCUCAGUAAAGGCUGCCAGGGGGGUAGGCACCCGCUCGGGGCCCCCCACAUGGUGCCAUUCGCCCGGACCGCGGCGGAGAGCAGACAGGGGGACUGAGGUGCUCCCCGCGGCAGCACCGAACUCCCACGGGCAUCAGAAGGCAAGGUCUGCGGAUGGCCCCAGACACAGAAGGCGUAAGCCGCCCUGGGAAGCGCCGGCCCAGUGGAGAAGGCCGCCGCGAGCUUUGACAGCUGAUGUCCCUGAGUCACGAAGGGGUACUUCUGGC